CCCUUAGAUGUUCUGGGCUGCACGCGCGCUACACUGAUGCGUUCAACGAGUGUACAUCCUUGCCCGUUAGGGUUGGGUAAUCUUUUGAACACGCAUCGUGAUGGGGAUAGAUUAUUGCAAUUAUUAAUCUUCAACGAGGAAUUCCUAGUAAUGGUGAAUCAUCAGUUCAUCGUGAUUACGUCCCUGCCCUUUGUACACACCGCCCGUCGCUCCUACCGAUUGAGCAAACCGGUGAAUAGUUUGGACCGUCGGCUUGGUCGCUUGCGUCCGACUGCUGAAACUUGAUUAAACCAUAUCAUUUAGAGGAAGGUGAAGUCGUAACA
rnacentral:rRNA from 1 species